AAUCAUAAAACCGCCCUCCCAAAAAUUGGAUGAAUCUAGUACUACUGAAAUUAAUGAAUAUUAAAUCAGAUCUUACAAAAACUCCUAAAGAAACCAAAAAUGUCCUCACAUCAAGUGCGAUGCUUACACUUCCAAGCCGCUCGGGGUAUUUGACAUUUGCCACUCUUCCUCCAGCCUUCGUCCGAUAGCAAAAAUUAUUCAACUGUUCAAUACCAUAUACAUAUGUAAAUAAAGUAGUACGAUAAUACAUGUAUAAAGUGAUAUUUUCAAUAAAUAUGAAAUAUAAUAAACCCUACAAGACGGAGCUAACUCAUACACCACUACACAUGCAAAUUUUUCAGCUUUUACCAAUACAUACACAUUGCUAACAAUUUGUAGUUAAGUGGCAAUCUCGGUAGUUAGAGUAGCAAAAUUCAUUAACCCUAAUUUUUGUAUGUGUAAGAGAGAGAUACAAUGAACCGUUCAAAAAUCGCCGCCAUGGCCGCUGUUCAUUUGAAAAUACAAUUUUAAGUGAAUGGAUGUAAGUGCGUUUUAAAUAUUUCUUUUAUUUUGUUAAGUGUUUUUGGAUAUUUAUCCAUCUUAUAAAUGCAUUAUUUGUGUUACUUUUGUUAUUUGUUUUUAUAAUUAAAAUUUCAUUUCAUUGUAGUUAUACGUGUGUGCACAGCAAAGGAGGAGCAAGGAGGUGACGGUGAAAUUGGUGGAGGUUUAUGGAUUUAGAAUUGGUGUAAUAUAUAAUAACAACAGCAGAAAACAAUGGAAAAUAACAUGAUAUUGAAAACACAAAUCUUCUUCUGCUUACGCAGUUAUAGCCGAGUCCACAACAGCGCGUCACGCAUCUCUUCUUUUGGCAGUUUGGCGCCAAUUGGUAAUACCCAGCGAAGACAGGUCCUUCUCCACCUGGUCCUUCCAUCGGAGUGGAGGUCUCCCUCUUCCUCGGCUUCCACCAGCGGGUACUGCAUCAAAAACUUUCAGAGCUGGGGCAUUUUCGUCCAUUCGAACAACAUGACCCAGCCAGCGUAGCCGCUGUCUUUUUAUUCGCUGGACUAUGCCUAUGUCGUCGAACAACAUAUACAGCUCAUCAUUUCAUCUUCUGCGGUAUUCGCCGUUGCCAAUGUUUAAGGGACCAUAAAUCUUCCACAAAACCUUUCUCUCGAAAACUCAUAGUGCCGUCUCAUCGGAUGUUGACACCGUCCACGCUUCUGCACCAUAAAGAAGGACGGGAAUGAUGAGGGACUUGUAGAGUUUAGUUUUUGCUCAUUGAGAGAGGACUUUACUUUUCAAUUGCCUACUCAGAUCAUAAACACAAAUACUUUGCACAAAUGGAGGAUUACAAUAGCUACAACUUUUCUUAGGCAUGAUAAACAAGACAACAACAAAUCCCAGCGGACAUUUAGAUUAUCAGUUGCACAACCUCUUUCCGACGAGCUGAACCUUUUUAUAAUGUACAUAUGGGAUAGGAUUGUGUGGAAUUAACAUCAAACAAUAUUGGUUCAUUAGUUUCGUUGGAUCCUUACAGCAUAAUUAUAAGGAAAUCGUUCGCGUUCAGUAUUAAUUUAUUCAUUUGCUUAUUCAUAAUUUAGAUGCAAAAUAUUAUUAAAUUAUAAAAAUGAAUGUUCGAAUACUAAUAACAUUCGUAAUAGUAAUGGAAUGUUAAUUUGAAUUGUAUAAAAACAACUACAAAAAAUAAAAAUGUAAUAAUUAAUACUAAAUUUAUAUAUGAAAUAUGUAAAAAGUAAAAAUUUAAUAAUUAAUACUAACUUUAUU